rnacentral:rRNA from 1 species
UCAGAAACUACAAAGGAAGUUAGACGGGGCCCGGCGACAAGCGGUGGAGGUAUGUGGUUUAAUUCGAUGCAACGCGAAGAACCUUACCUGGUCUUGACAUCCCGGAGACCCUUACGGAAACUAGGGGGUGGCUUCCAUCUGGAAGAAUCUGGAGACAGGUGCUGCAUGGCUGUCGUCAGCUCGUGUCGUGAGAUGUUGGGUUAAGUCCCGCAACGAGCGCAACCCUUGCCUUUAGUUGCCAGCAGUUCGGCUGGGCACUCUAAAGGGACUGCCGGUGUUAAACCGGAGGAAGGUGGGGAUGACGUCAAGUCCUCAUGGCCUUUAUGACCAGGGCUACACACGUACUACAAUGGCCGAUACAAAGGGCAGCGACACUGCGAGGUGAAGCCAAUCCCGUAAAAUCGGUCUCAGUCCGGAUUGGAGUCUGCAACUCGACUCCAUGAAGUUGGAAUCGCUAGUAAUCGUGGAUCAGCAUGCCACGGUGAAUACGUUCCCGGGCCUU